rnacentral:rRNA from 1 species
AACGAACGCUAGCGGCAGGCCUAACACAUGCAAGUCGAGGGGUAACUAGAGUGAUAGCAAUAUUACUUUGGCUAGACCGGCGCACGGGUGCGUAACACGUAUGCAACCUACCUUAUACUGGGGAAUAACUUCGAGAAAUCGGCGCUAAUACCCCAUAACACUGCGGAGAGGCAUCUCUUUGCAGUUAAAGCUCCGGCGGUAUAAGAUGGGCAUGCGUCCAAUUAGCUAGUUGGUGAGGUAACGGCUCACCAAGGCUACGAUUGGUAGGGGUUUUGAGAGGAGUAUCCCCCACACUGGUACUGAGACACGGACCAGACUCCUACGGAAGGCAGCCGUGAGGAAUAUUGCGCAAUGGACGAAAGUCUGACGCAGCCAGGCCGCGUGCAGGAUGACGGCCCUAUGGGUUGUAAACUGCUUUUGUACGGGAAUAAACCCUUCUACGUGUAGGAGGCUGAAGGUACCGUAAGAAUAAGCACCGGCUAACUCCGUGCCAGCAGCCGCGGUAACAC